rnacentral:rRNA from 1 species
UACGGGGGGGGCAAGCGUUGUUCGGAAUUACUGGGCGUAAAGGGCUCGUAGGUGGCCAACUAAGUCAGACGUGAAAUCCCUCGGCUUAACCGGGGAACUGCGUCUGAUACUGGAUGGCUUGAGUUUGGGAGAGGGACGCGGAAUUCCAGGUGUAGCGGUGAAAUGCGUAGAUAUCUGGAGGAACACCGGUGGCGAAGGCGGCGUCCUGGACACCAACUGACGCUGAGACGCGAAAGCGUGGGGAGCAAACAGG